rnacentral:tRNA from 1 species
GUCUUCGUGGUGUAACGGCAGCACACUCGACGCGUGUUCUAGAGGUCCAGGUUUGAAUCCCGGCGAGGGCA